AGAACCUGGAGGGAGAGGUCACAGCAGGUUACGGCGACCCUCUCGGGUUCACAGCUCUGGGACAGAAGAGGGGGUGGCAGUGAAUGGAGCCAGUUCUCAAAGUCCACAUCACAACACACCUGCUCGUCACAGCAUAGGUGGAGUUCCCAGCAGUAAUCAGGAAUACCCAGGGGUUUCUGGAGCCUCAAGCCGUUCUACCACUCCCAUCCAUCUCAUUGCUGAAUUCUUCCACCCAGCUGCUGCGGCCCUCCCGGCACCCCCGAGAGGCCGACCGGGACACAAACCAAGAGGGCUCCGGCUAACUUCCCCAGCCUCAUGGGCAUCUCUACGCUCUCCUGGAGCAAACACCAGGCUGCUCACCACACAGUAUUCAUCUCACAGUGACUCCUCCCUGGCUACGGGCAGCUCAG
rnacentral:lncRNA from 1 species